GGGUUGUGAGGUUAAGCGACUAAGCGUACACGGUGGAUGCCCUGGCAGUCAGAGGCGAUGAAGGACGUGCUAAUCUGCGAAAAGCGUCGGUAAGGUGAUAUGAACCGUUAUAACCGGCGAUGUCCGAAUGGGGAAACCCAGUGCAAUUCGUUGCACUAUCGUUAACUGAAUACAUAGGUUAACGAGGCGAACCGGGGGAACUGAAACAUCUAAGUACCCCGAGGAAAAGAAAUCAACCGAGAUUCCCCCAGUAGCGGCGAGCGAACGGGGAGCAGCCCAGAGUCUGAAUCAGCUUGUGUGUUAGUGGAACGGUCUGGAAAGUCCGACGGUACAGGGUGAUAGUCCCGUACACCAAAAUGCACAGGCUGUGAACUCGAAGAGUAGGGCGGGACACGUGGUAUCCUGUCUGAAUAUGGGGGGACCAUCCUCCAAGGCUAAAUACUCCUGACUGACCGAUAGUGAACCAGUACCGUGAGGGAAAGGCGAAAAGAACCCCGGCGAGGGGAGUGAAAAAGAACCUGAAACCGUGUACGUACAAGCAGUGGGAGCACCUUCGGGUGUGACUGCGUACCUUUUGUAUAAUGGGUCAGCGACUUAUAUUCUGUAGCAAGGUUAACCGUAUAGGGGAGCCGCAGGGAAACCGAGUCUUAACUGGGCGUUAAGUUGCAGGGUAUAGACCCGAAACCCGGUGAUCUAGCCAUGGGCAGGUUGAAGGUUGGGUAACACUAACUGGAGGACCGAACCGACUAAUGUUGAAAAAUUAGCGGAUGACUUGUGGCUGGGGGUGAAAGGCCAAUCAAACCGGGAGAUAGCUGGUUCUCCCCGAAAGCUAUUUAGGUAGCGCCUCGUGAAUUCAUCUUCGGGGGUAGAGCACUGUUUCGGCUAGGGGGUCAUCCCGACUUACCAACCCGAUGCAAACUACGAAUACCGAAGAAUGUUAUCACGGGAGACACACGGCGGGUGCUAACGUCCGUCGUGAAGAGGGAAACAACCCAGACCGCCAGCUAAGGUCCCAAAGUCAUGGUUAAGUGGGAAACGAUGUGGGAAGGCACAGACAGCCAGGAUGUUGGCUUAGAAGCAGCCAUCAUUUAAAGAAAGCGUAAUAGCUCACUGGUCGAGUCGGCCUGCGCGGAAGAUGUAACGGGGCUAAACCAUGCACCGAAGCUGCGGCAGCGACACGAUGUGUUGUUGGGUAGGGGAGCGUUCUGUAAGCCUGCGAAGGUGACCUGUGAGGGUUGCUGGAGGUAUCAGAAGUGCGAAUGCUGACAUAAGUAACGAUAAAGCGGGUGAAAAGCCCGCUCGCCGGAAGACCAAGGGUUCCUGUCCAACGUUAAUCGGGGCAGGGUGAGUCGACCCCUAAGGCGAGGCCGAAAGGCGUAGUCGAUGGGAAACAGGUUAAUAUUCCUGUACUUGGUGUUACUGCGAAGGGGGGACGGAGAAGGCUAUGUUAGCCGGGCGACGGUUGUCCCGGUUUAAGCAUGUAGGCUGGUUAUCCAGGCAAAUCCGGAUAAUCAAGGCUGAGGUGUGAUGACGAGGCACUACGGUGCUGAAGUAACAAAUGCCCUGCUUCCAGGAAAAGCCUCUAAGCAUCAGGUAAC
rnacentral:rRNA from 1 species